AAUGUGGUAACGCAAAACCACGUUACAGCCAAGGCAGGGCAAGGAGUAUCUAUCUCACAGCCGCGAUGCGGUCCUCCACCGUGGUUCUCCUCCUCGCAAUCGCCAUGGUCGUCGUCAUAUGCUGUUCCUCGGCGGCGGUCCAAGGUGAUCCGGACGGAGACCGUGAUGGCGCCAGUCCGCCGCCGCCGAUUGGCGGGCGGGGGCGCAGGCCGGAUUGCCCGGAGUGCGACGAACCGAGCCCUCCACCGUCUCCACCGGCGGCGGGAACUUCGCAAGCUACGCCGCACCGGAAGACCCUGCUGGUUGGUACUAGCGUCCCGUAAAACCUGGCGUCUCUCGGUCAUGUUAGCUGUGGGAAUUGUACGCGGGAGCGGGAGUACGUUGUGGGUAAACUCUUGUUUUACAGCAACGGAUUACUGCUGGCUGGUACCAACUUCCCGUAAUACGACCGGCCCCUGCAUUAGCUGUGGGAUUUGCAAGCGCGUUGUCGUCUGGGUAAACUCUCUUUUUGGACAGCAGCCGAUGCGCUAGAUGGUCGGCUUCUUGUUGCGUACGUUGAUCGAUGACUAUGUUGUAUUGUACCUACUACUUUGUGAAAUACUAGUCUUCAUCGUGUU